rnacentral:rRNA from 1 species
CUUGGGCUUCUUUGCUGACGAGUGGCGGACGGGUGAGUAAUGUCUGGGAAACUGCCUGAUGGAGGGGGAUAACUACUGGAAACGGUAGCUAAUACCGCAUAACGUCGCAAGACCAAAGAGGGGGACCUUCGGGCCUCUUGCCAUCGGAUGUGCCCAGAUGGGAUUAGCUAGUAGGUGGGGUAACGGCUCACCUAGGCGACGAUCCCUAGCUGGUCUGAGAGGAUGACCAGCCACACUGGAACUGAGACACGGUCCAGACUCCUACGGGAGGCAGCAGUGGGGAAUAUUGCACAAUGGGCGCAAGCCUGAUGCAGCCAUGCCGCGUGUAUGAAGAAGGCCUUCGGGUUGUAAAGUACUUUCAGCGGGGAGGAAGGGAGUAAAGUUAAUACCUUUGCUCAUUGACGUUACCCGCAGAAGAAGCACCGGCUAACUCCGUGCCAGCAGCCGCGGUAAUACGGAGGGUGCAAGCGUUAAUCGGAAUUACUGGGCGUAAAGCGCACGCAGGCGGUUUGUUAAGUCAGAUGUGAAAUCCC